GGCCACAGCAGUGCGUACCGCAAAAAAAAAAACUCCCCAGAUGACUCUUACGAUGGACCAACUUUAGGACCCAAUUGAACUAGAUAAUCUGUAUAGGCCAUGUCAGUGUCAACCUUCCAUGAUUUUAUGUUAUAGGUCCAGCAAGGAAAGCCUGGCUGGAGGAAGGCAGGUGCAACUCUCAGGAUAAAAUAAAUCUUAUAGGUCCAUCAAACUAGAAACAUACAAGAAAAGGGAAUCCUGGGAAACAUAGAUCAGUUUAGCCCAGUGGGCACAUCGACAAACCAUCGCACCGUGGCUGGGUACCCUUCCAGUCCUCCCCAAGGCAAAGGUGUUAUCCUGCUAGAGAUACACUGGUUUAGCAUUAAACAGAACCUUUCACGUGCCAGUUUGAAACAUCUGCAACUGAAUUACUUCACUGCCUUGGGAUUUCUCCAAAAUAAUAUGUAGGUAAUUUUUAAAUAUCUGAAUAAGUCAAAGAAGUCACCGAAGUGUUACCACCCAGAACCAACGGAGGGUGGGCCCUAAACAUAAAUUCUUGCUUCUAUCUUAAAACGUACAAACUGCUUGCAACACCCCAAAUGGCAUUUUUUUCACCUUCACCAGUUUUAGUUCCAAACUCCUCUGGAAAAUUCAUCACAAGUUAAUAUUUAACUCUAAAAAAAAAUUUUUUUAAAGCUCUAUUCUUAAAGAAACUCUUAGCAUAAGUGAACACUGGGGUUUCACAGAGUUCCUUAAUAAAGAGCUGUGACUCAGCAGUCACAGCUGGUUGUCCCUCCAAAGUUAUUUUAUUUAUUAUUAUGAAAUAAGGAACUAAAUUCCAGGAACUGAGUGAACCCAAGCUGAAUUAACAAACCGGGCAAAGUUAAACAAGACCGCAGACUCUGCUAAAGCCCCGCAUGAACACUGACCUUGAAGGCAAGGUCAGGAAAAGUAUUCCAUGGAACUGCUCCUCUAAAGAAAUUUUGGAACAAAAUCAGAAGUGCUGGUGUGUUUGAGAACAUCUCCCAGGAAUACCUGGGGGAGAGUGUAUUGCAGUUCAUCUGUUCCCAUUUCUGGGGCGGUGUUGCUGACUCAGCCCCACCCCUUGAAUGCAGCUGCAGGUAGCCAGCUGGGAAAGCACUGAGUCCUGCGCGCAGGGCAGGCAUUGCUGCUGAAGGCAGGUCGGAAGGCUGGGUAGAAAAGAAAGCUGGUUUCUAGAUGAUUCUUGAGCCAUUAAGCCAUCUUGUCACCCCUAGACAGAAAGCCUAAGUUAGCUUUUUUUCCACUUUUUACUAUGAAACUGUACAAAUAUGCAGAAAAGUAGAAAGAAAAGCUCAGUAAAGUCCCACAUUCCCCUGAUUUAGAUAUAAUUAUUGUGAAUAUUUUUGCCGUUUACUUCAUUUCUUUUUUUUUUUUUUUUUUUUGCUGAAGUAUAUAGGUUAUAGACAACAUGACAUUUCGCCUCUGGGAUUUCACACCCUCCUACAGUCUCCUCCCACAUUGUACAGGGUUGGUCCAGUAGAAUACAGAAGUAGUGAUGGCCUGUCUCGUCUGGAAUUAAGUUACAAAAGACACGUGGCUGCAUCUUGCCUUCUCUCUCUCCCUCUCCCUCUCAUCACUUGCUCUGGGGGAAGUCGCUAGUAACCCCAUGGAGAGGCCCAUGUGGCAAAGAAAGCCUCAUGGACACAGAUCCCCAAGCCCCAGUCAAGUGUCAGAUGACUGCAAACCCCACUACAUCUAGAUGGGAGCCUCCUGAGAGACCCUGCGUCAGAACCACUGGCUAAGCCAGUCCCAGAUUCCUGACCCUCAGAAACUGUGCAAGAUAAUAAUUUCUACCGCUUUAACCUGCUAAAUUUGGGGCUAAAUUGGUAGUACAGAUAGAACACAUUUGGAUACAUUUGCAGGCGGGGUACUGUGACAGAAACCCAAGAUGUGGGAGUGGCUGUGGCACCAGGCGGUGGGCUUUGUUGAGAGCAUUGGUAAAUGCCUGGAGCACCUUGAAGAAGCUGUGAAUAAAAGAGUCCAGGUCGUUACAGAUCCAGGUCAGAGCUUGCAGGAAAGUGAAGGAAACUGGAGGAAGGGAUCCUGGUGAUGCUGUUGCCUGCAGUCAUGUGGACAGAGGAAAAUGCACCCAAUGAACUCGUGAUCUAGUCAAGGAGAUUUGGAGCCAAAGCGUUUUCAGUGCUGCCUGCUUUCUGCUAGUUGCUUAUAGUAAGAUGCCAGAGAAGAGAGAGAAAUGAACGGAAGGGUUGUUAAGCAGAAAGGAGCUGGGACUGGAAGGUUUUCAGCUGGGCCAGAUGACAAAUUAUGCUAGAAUCAAGGAAUGGCUUCCAAGCAAAAGUCCAAAUUCAGGGCCCUGCCAGAAAACCUGUGGUCCAGAGAUAGACCCUAGGCUGUGCCUGUAAAUAAUUUUUAAAAGAUUUCAGAAAGAUAUAAAGCCAUACCCCAUAGUCCUUUUGUCAGACAAAAGGCCCUCUAAGGAGAGUAAAGGUGUGCCUCACUGCUGUGGCCCGAAUGCUUGUGAGAUUAAAGGUGUACCUCACAUGUGAGGUCACAAGAAGUCGGCAGCCUGGAGGAGGGCCCUCACCAGAACCCAGCCAUGCUGGCACCCUGGUCUCAGAAUUCCAGCCUCCAGAACUGUGAGAAAUAGAUUUCUGUUGUUUAUAAAUUACCCAGCCUGUGGUGUUUUGUUACAGCAGUCCCAGUGGACCAAGACACUCACAGACCCUCUCAAUCAGAGGAUAAUCCUCCUCAGGACUUCCCUGGCGGUCCAGUGGAUACAAUAAGAAGUCAGCCAAAAAGAAAAAGAAGUCAGCCAGCUCCAAGCCAGGAAGACAGUCCUCACCAGAACUCAACCAUGCAGAUCACUUGCUCUGGGAGGAGCCAGCCGCCCUCUGGAGAGGCCCACUUGCUGAGGAGCUGAGACUGCUGGCCAAAGUCAGCAAGGAACUCUCUUCCAACAGAGAGAAAACAAGAUGCCUGGACCAUCUUGGACGCAGAGCCUCUGGCCCCAGUCAAGUUUCAGAUGACCGCGGUCUGGCCAGCAACUGGAUGGUAACUUCCUGAGAGACCCUGAGCCAGAUCCACCCAGCAAAGCCACUCCCAGAUUCCUGACUCUCGGAAACUGUAUGAAAUACUAAAUUUUUUAAAGUCGCUAUGUGUAUUAACCAUGUGUUUCUGAUGUUUUUAUCUCUGGGGCCUGGAAAGACUGUCCCUCCCAGGGCUAGCCAAUUCCCAGGGAUAGAACAUGCCUUUCACAGGCACACAUGAAAAGAUGCUCAACAUUGCUAAUCAUCAGGGGAAUGCAAAUCAAAACCACAAUGA